rnacentral:tRNA from 1 species
GGUCUCUUAGUUCAGUGGCUAGAAUACUCCUAUUGCUUGGGGAGAGACUGGGGUUCGAUUCCUCAGGAGACCU